AUGGAAGGGGAGACUAACAGUAACAACAGCAACAACGACGACGACGACGACGACGUUGUUACAGUGGCAGUGGUGGCCACCACCGGUGACGUGUCCGGAGAAAAUACGGGCCCACUCUCACUACUCCGGAAGUUUCCAAACAAUUCAUCCUCCAACAACAGCAAUAAUCUCAACCAACUCGCUCCGGCGACGCGUGAACUCUACGCUAUGACGGCGGAGUCGUUGAAGAGGCUGUUGGUUUCGGAGCUUUCGUUGUGGUCCGGGGACGUGGAAACGAUGGUGGCAUCGGCGAACAGGGCUUUCGAAACCUUGGAUUGGCUUCAACCAGACUGCACUGAAUUCUACGACGCCGUUGGGGAUCUCCUCUCUCGUCGCGCUCAAUUCUCCUCCUUAGAGACCGAGCUCCGAACCCACCAAAACGAAGAAGAAUCCGACGCCGGCAAUUUUCAAGCUCGGUCGAAAGAAGCGCUGGAAGCGCUGGCUAGGUCCGAAGCCGAGUAUAAGAAAGCCGGAGAGCUGGUUAGUUGUCUGAAGAGUCGGGUUUCGGAGAUCCGAGUGGUGCUGAAAAAGCUCGAGGAUGAAUCGAAGAGGGAAGAGGUGAUGCUUGUUGAUCGGAAAAGAGAAUGGGACCAAUGCGUUGAGUCUCACUUGGCUAUUAAGAAGGAAGAGAAAGAGUUGGCUGAGCAAACGGAGGAGAAGCAAAAGAUCAUCAAAAAGAUCAAGCAGCUUCGCGAUGAGGCCGAGGCUGGUGUUCCAGGCUCUAUAAAGGCUUUGUCUUCUCUCUGCUAAAUCAAUGUAAUGUUACUCUUAUCUCUCCGAAUUCUGAUAGUAACUUAUUUGAGCAAUGGCUACUUGGCUAGAGUCUACCAACACUGGUUGGUGGUGAUCGAUGGCAUCUUGGCUUUAGCAGCUACUACCAUGUUUUUGAUUGCUUUUUUGAUAGAGAGAUGGCAUCUUGUGAUAAUAUCUAUUUUCUGCUUUCUUUUUAUAUAACUCAAAUAACUUGGAUAGUUGGAGAGUAUAGAGGCUUCUCUUUCUCAGGCUUGUACUGGGAGAUGUGCAUAAUGACAAUUUUUUGUAAACCUCUCUUUUGUUAAUGCAAUCUCUGACUGUUAGUUCU